rnacentral:rRNA from 1 species
GUGCCAGCAGCCGCGGUAAGACGUGGGGGGCCAGCGUUGUUCGGAAUUACUGGGUGUAAAGGGUCAGUAGGCGGUGUGGCAAGUCGGGAGUGAAAUCUCUGGGCUCAACUCAGAGACUGCUUCCGAAACUGCUGUGCUAGAGUGUGGGAGAGGCGCGUGGAAUUGCAGGUGUAGCGGUGAAAUGCGUAGAUAUCUGCAGGAACACCCGUGGCGAAAGCGGCGCGCUGGACCACAACUGACGCUGAAUGACGAAAGCUAGGGGAGCAAACAGGAUUAGAUACCCUGGUAGUCC